UACGUAGGGCGCAAGCGUUAUCCGGAAUUAUUGGGCGUAAAGAGCUCGUAGGCGGUUUUGUCGCGUCUGCCGUGAAAAGUCCGGGGCUCAACUCCGGAUCUGCGGUGGGUACGGGCAGACUAGAGUGAUGUAGGGGGAGACUGGAAUUCCUGGUGUAGCGGUGAAAUGCGCAGAUAUCAGGAGGAACACCAAAGGCGAAGGCAGUGUCCUGGGGAGUACCUGACGCUCAGGUGCGAAAAGCCAGGGGAGCGAACGGG
rnacentral:rRNA from 1 species